rnacentral:snRNA from 1 species
GGAUGUUAGGGCGAUCUGGCUGCGACAACUGUCACCCCAUUAAUCACCAGGGUUGAUUCGGCUGAUCUUGCUGAUAGGCUGGUGUCCCCUUCCUCCCUCACGCUCCAUGUGCGUCCUCCAGGAGCUGGGUGGAAGAGGACCGCCUUCCCAGAAUAGAGACCGACCGGUAUAGGAGGGUAUAAAGAGUAGCUGCGCUGCCCUGCUAGAACCUCCCAAACAAAGCUCUCAAGUACCUACAUAAAUAACUAUUAAUGAGAAAAUAAGGGAUAGUAAUAAUAGUUAACAUUUAUUGGGUGGCUAUGUAACUACUAGACU